rnacentral:rRNA from 1 species
AGUGAACGCUGGCGGUAGGCCUAACACAUGCAAGUCGAACGGCAGCACAGUAAGAGCUUGCUCUUACGGGUUGCGAGUGGCGGACGGGUGAGGAAUACAUCGGAAUCUACUCUUUCGUGGGGGAUCACGUAGGGAAACUUACGCUAAUACCGCAUACGACCUACGGGUGAAAGCAGGGGAUCUUCGGACCUUGCGCGAUUGAAUGAGCCGAUGUCGGAUUAGCUAGUUGGCGGGGUAAAGGCCCACCAAGGCGAGGAUCCGUAGCUGGAAUGGGAGGAUGGUCAGCCACACUGGAACUGAGACACGGUCCAGACUCCUACGGGAGGGAGCAGUGGGGAAUAUUGGACAAGGGGCGCAAACCUGAUCCAGACAUACCGCGUGGGUGAAGAGGGCCUUCGGGUUGGAGAGCCCUCUUGUUGGGAAAGAAAAGCAGCAGGUUAAUACCGCGGUGUUCUGACGGUACACAAAGAAUAAGCACCGGCUAACUUCGUG